UAAUGUUCAAAGAACUCUUUAAAACGAUCCAGUAGAAAAAGUUGGCAAAGGGUACGAAUAGGUCGUUUACAGGUACGGAAAUCUAAACAGCCCAUUCAGCAUGUUUUAAAGCAGGAAUCUGGCAGAAGCUUAGGGAUGUUGUUUCUGGCAGCCUUAUGAUAUGGUUAUGCCAUUAAUGAUAACUGUUUCCACUGGUUUCAGACUUGCAUUCCUAUACAGUACGGCACCCUGUUUUCGUGGGGUACUUGACGAGCCCGUUGAAACUGCCCUUUGGCUAUCUACUCAGUUACCAGUCCAGGAAUCGUGGAGAAACUGUUGCGAUCCCUAGGACUCUCUUACCUGUUAUCAAGGGAAUGAAAGCAUGCACCCGUUUUGCUUCCUAAAGUAUAGAAAUGCUAAGCGUGCCAUUAAGUUAUAUGAAUAAAGAAAAAUUGAGUUGUAUUUGUCCUGAGAAUGUGUUUACAGUUUUGACCAGAAAAAUUCCAAAUCCUACUUUUUCACUUGAUGCAACUUGAAACACACUCGGCGUCCAGCUUUGAAAGUGCAUUUCGAGUGUUUGGAAUGUUGUGGAGUGUACUUCCAAUUAUGAAUCUCAAGACUCCUGCUCAGGGUGGCUUUGAAAAGCACACUUGAAUCUGGAGAAGCCACAAUGAGGGAGCAGUGAUAAAUGGUAUGCAGAAAGAGAAAAUAAUUUAACGGAAAAGAGACAGUAAGAGACAGCAAGAAGAUGGCUGUCUGUGAGACAGGAAGAGGGCUCUCACUAGAAAUGACCCAAUCAGGACCUUAACCUUGAACUUGGACGUCCCAGCCUCCAGAACUGUGAGAAGUAAAUGUUUGCAGUUUAAGCCACCCAGGCUGUGGUAUUUUCUUAUAGCAACCUGACUGGGCUAAUACUUGAAGGAAAGCGGACACAGAUAGAGACGUUCAGCAUGAACAGAAACAUGUAAAAUGAGCUCAUCAACAAAUAUUCCAAAACAUCGGAAAAGAUCUAAAGUUAAGUAUACAAUCAUAUAUGGGAAAAGUGGCUAUGAUAAGUUUAUAUAAGUUAUCAUGACUGCUGGCUUAUAUUUUCCAAGUUGUAGGUGGGGUUUCUUCUCUGGAUCAGAAUAGGUUCUUGGGGAAGGAGAAAAGAAAAUGAUCUACUCAACUUUCAACCAACAAAAGCUAGUGACAAGUAGAAUGAGCCCUUGGAGUCGAUUCCAUGAAUUCAACCUAAUUUGAAAGAAUAGUUGAAAAGUUUCUUUUACAUGUUUGAUGGUUGGUGGUGGGUUUUAACCAGCACAAAGCAACUCAAAUUUAUUAUCUUGUGAUUUUUUCUCAGUCAGAAAUCAAGGUACGUGCUUAGCUCGACUCCCUGCUUGAGAUCUCAACAGACCAACAUCACUGCACCGGCUGCCUGGGCUUUGGAGAGGAACUCACUUUCAAGCUCAUCCAGAUGCUACCACAAGACACGGAGCUCCAGGUCAGAUACAAAGGAUUUUACUAUAACAGCAAGCAGCAUGAGUAUGAUGUUGGCACUGGUUACCUUUGCCAACAAUUCCCAUGGAGCUGACAGAAAAUAGCCUACAUGUUUACUGAGCAUCCAGUGAGUUUGAUUCAUAGCCGAAGAACAUUGAUCUUGGGAAAUCUGCUGCUUUUCCAUUAAGCCUUGUCUUUGUUCUGGAAGGAUACAUCAUAUCAUCCUUUAAAGUUGUUUGCUUCCAAUACAGGCCUGAGAAAUGGCCCAGGUGUACGGCCCCGUUGGAGUCUCCAAACCCAGCAGAUUGCUGCAGUACGCUCCUGUACCACUCCUUCCAGUGGAAGAAGGCGGGGGGUAUCUCCCUGUAUCUGCCAGUUGUGGGGUCCCUGCUCGAAAAGCAGUGGCCCGACUGCCUUGGAUCAUGGUUUAAGAGAUCAUUUGAAUUCGAAGUAUAAAGAAAACCUGGAAUGACCGGAGCCCAGGAACAAGUACAGCCGCCUUUGGCUGUGAUUUCAUCAGUGGGUCUGGCUGUGAAUUUUUCAAGUGCUAGAAGCAAAUUAUCCUUUGAAGAGGCCAGUAGUAAGGAACCGAGGGCAGCCUCAAGCCAUUAGUCAGUGUGGCAUCCUGUAGGGAACUGGGUCCUACCAACAACCAGAUGUGUGAGCCUGCGAGCACAUCCGGUCCCAGCUGAACCUUGAAAUGGCUGCCACCUCAGACAGUGUCAUGGCUGCCGCCCAUCAGACGACCAAGCUCACCUGCAUGGGAUCCCUCACUCAGAGGGACUGUGAGCCAGUAAAUAAUAAUCAUGUUGUGUUUGAAUACACCAAUGCCAACAAUUCAACUAAGGGAGGACAAAGUCAUUACCUAAUGAAACAUACUUCUUCCUGAAAAAUGGCUGUCCUAGGAUCACUAAUUAGCCAGGACCUAUAAUAUAUAACAGCUGAAAAGCAAUGAAAACCAACACUAAAGAGCUAUAUGUGAGAUCCAGGCUUUGAAAUUCUGGGCUGUCAUCCUAAGCUCAGCUGCUGUCUCCUAAAACAUAGUUCCAGGGCUAUCAUUGAAUGAAAUACAGUUUACUUGGAUGUGCUUUAGUAUAAAAUUUUUCUUCCUCUGGCUGCUGAUUUUAUGUUCUGGAACUAACUGGAGCUCUGUUCAUAAUCUACCAGACACAGUUUGGGUUUACAGUACUUAGUUUUGAAGUUAGUGGCCAAGAUGGUCUCAUUUUGAAAAGUCUCUGAGAAGAUAAUUUUUGCAUUCGGAACAGCACUUGCAAAGUCUUUUCCAUAAGUUUUUAACUUGAAAGAGAGUACCCCUGGAAGAGAGGAAAACUUCCCUAAACACAGGAUCAGUGAGGAAAAGAGCAAGAAAUCUGGAUGUUCUGAGGACCUGUCGGUCAGUAAGAGUUACCUACUGGAGGUUUAAACUCUGACACUCUAUGGAACUGCAGUUACUGAGUUCGAUUUGAAUUCACUCGUCUGGCUUGUGUUGAGGUCCUCCUGAAAAAGGAUUUGUAUCAUGAAGCACUUCUCUAAAACUUGUUCCUGACUUUACUGAAAGGAUAUUGUUAAGGACACAUUUUGUUACACAGAACCCUCCUUGUGAUGAUUUUCAGAUAGGUUCCAUACCCAGCAUGGAGUCCAACAAGGGGCUUGAG